rnacentral:lncRNA from 1 species
ACAUAACUGCGAGCUCUCGGACUUGAAUACGCUGCUGGUGGACUUUGAAAAAGGCCACUUCGACGAAUUCACCGGUGGCAUCACUGUCAAAGUUCACGCACAGUCCAACCUCAGAAAACGAGAUGGACCAAAUAGCUUGAGUACCUUGGCUGGAAGGUUGAAGCAUCCGUUCCACUUCCCUCACGUGCCAGACGCGGACUGCGGGAAGAUCGACGCGUACAAGUUUGGUAUAGCCUGCGUAGAAAUGAUCACCGGACAAACCAUCGGGGAAGAAAUACUGCUCUCUGGAAAACUACCGCAACUGCCUCACGAUUGCACGGGAAUCAAGGCUGUGAUAGAGAAAUGCCUGAGCUCGCAGCCUCCGGGCUUCCAUCAAAUCGUGGAACUCCUGCAAUCAGCUCAACUUAGACUGGAGAUUCCGCCUACAAGCGACAUAGACUACCGACGGAUGCUUCUGGACUCCAGCGCUCAAACUGGACUCAAGCUCGACAUAACGGGAGACGCAGUAAUUGGUGGCAAGCUCAUUGCUGUUGGAAACGUAGAAAAUGUGGGUAACAGGCUCUACCAGUGGAUCCGUCAGCACAAAGAUGGAACUAUAGAGCGGUUGCGGCCAUUUCUCGUGACGGAGUUGGACUCUGGGACACUGGAGUAUGAUCUAACAGCCGACGACUUCAACAAGGCGAUCUCACUAACUUACGUGGAUAUGAACGAAAAGAUCGAAGUUUCCGGCAGAGAAACCACGAACAGUCGAUGGGUUUCCUAUAGUGACACUAUGAAGCGGGCGCUCAAGAUGAUAUGGGGAGCUGGCGAGGCCAAGUUCAAGGUUUUGCAGCUAAGGGAAGAAGAAGGGAGCAAGCAGAGCUACCUGGUGAUUAGACGGCCGCAUUGCAUGCUGGAGUGGAAGCGCUACUACUUGAAAAGGAUGGAGAUCAAGAUCGCGUUCACCUCCCCGGCGGCCGGCAUCAAAAUAUCCGAGGAGAAUCCGCAAAUUUGCCAGCUGAUCGAUAACGGCGGCGCGGAGGCCUGCAAGAUCCGAUUCAAGAACGCGUUCGAGAGAGACCUGGCGGUGCUUACCUUCCGGCAUUUCUUGCGCGCCUGUGAGAAGGGGAAGCGCUCGCGACGACGAUGACAUCCAAAAUGCUGUGAGUCAACGGCGCGCGCCGGUGAUUUCUUGCUGGAAAUCGAAGUAGAAAUGAAG